UGAAGAUGCAGGUUACCCGCGACAGGACGGAAAGACCCCGUGGAGCUUUACUGCAGCCUGAUAUUGAAUGUUGGUACAGCUUGUACAGGAUAGGUAGGAGCCUUGGAAACCGGAGCGCCAGCUUCGGUGGAGGCAUCGGUGGGAUACUACCCUGGCUGUAUUGACCUUCUAACCCGCCGCCCUUAUCGGGCGGGGAGACAGUGUCAGGUGGGCAGUUUGACUGGGGCGGUCGCCUCCUAAAAGGUAACGGAGGCGCCCAAAGGUUCCCUCAGAAUGGUUGGAAAUCAUUCGCAGAGUGUAAAGGCACAAGGGAGCUUGACUGCGAGACCUACAAGUCGAGCAGGGACGAAAGUCGGGC
rnacentral:rRNA from 1 species